rnacentral:lncRNA from 1 species
UUUUCAAACACACAAUUUUCUAACAAUCACACAUGUUAGACUUUACAAUCUUUUCCGAACUCACACUUAUAGUAUUCUGCCAUCCUGUUUGCACUUUGUCUUUACAAGACUACCUGUUUUUUUCUUACUUGUUUUGAUACUGUUAUGUCCUAAUGUAAUCUUCAGCAUCUCCACAAUCUGUUUAUUUAUAGCUUUCUGUGUCCUUGUCUACUUUCUACUACUGCAGAGUUAAUUAUUUGACUAGUAUGUUAAUUUCAUUUGGUCUUGUUGCUGCUAUGAAUACCUGCUCCAUAUUUUCCUUUAAGUGCUUUGGGUUAUUGUUUAAAAAAUGGCAAUAUGCAAAGUUAUUGUCAAAGGUUUGAACUUGAUCCUUUUGGGGAUCCUACCUUUGAAACAAUGUGUUCUGACAUGCUGGUGAGGUGUGCCAAUAUUUUUCAUUGCUGGGUAUGCCCACUAGUCUAUCCUUGCCUCCUUACCACUUCCCCAUUUCGUAUAUCCCUAUGUAUAUCUAUAUGUACCGUUUCACUUCCUCUUUUCCCCUUUUAAGAACUAUGCACUUACACUCUCCCCUAGUCUCUAAGUUAUAUCCCCCCUCUUGUGAGCCUUGCCUUGGGACCUUAAGUUCUCUAUGAACUUGGACACUUGACGGCUGGCCCUUCCGCACUGCACUAUGUCGUAACCCUGUAAUGCAUUUGGGAGUGAUCACUGAUCGUAGUCUAUAUGAGGCUCUUGGGGAACUAUGACACAUUCAAAUGAGAGAAAGGCUUUGAAACUUGAUCUUUAAAGUUGGGUUACUUCAUAAAUCAGACAGGAAGUCUGAAUGAGGUCCUCCUUGGUUGUAAUUUUCUAUUUCUGGUGUAUUUUAUUUUCUUUGGACUGUAAUAAUUUGUAAUGAAACCUGUGGGUAUGGCUAAUGAAAAAGAAGGUUGUAAUCAUGCAUGUCAAAAGGGUAGAUAUCCUGUUCCUGGGGAGUUUCUGAUUUCUGCAUAACACAUACAUAUCCUACUCAUAGGGAAUUUUUUAUUUCUAUUCAUCACAUAAAUAUCCUGUUCAUAGGAAACUUCUGG